CUUCCUUCAGGUAAGCAUCACCAAGAGUUGCCAAAACUGUUUGGUGACUUGGAUAUUCAGUUAAUCCUGUGACCAUGUGAAGAUUCUAAAAAUUACUUACAAAAGGGGAAGCAGAGUGAGGAUUAGUGAUCAAACUCAGAAUGACCAAGAGUGGCUGACAUUAUGUACUCCAGAUGUGAUGCCUGACAUUAUUUACUCCAGAUGUGAUACCUGACAUUAUUUACUCCAGAUGUGAUACUGACAUUAUGUACUCCAGAUGUGAUACCUGACAUUAUUUACUCCAGAUGUGAUACCUGACAUUACUUACUGCAGAAGUGAUACUGACAUUAUUUACUCCAGAUGUGAUGCCUGACAUUAUUAACUCCAGAUGUGAUGCCUGACAUUAUUUACUCCAGUUGCGAUACUGACAUUAUUUACUCCCGAUGUGAUACCUGAUGUUAUUUACUCCAGAUGUGAUACUGAUGUUUUUUACUGCAGAUGUGAUACCUGACAUUAUUUACUCCAGAUGUGAUACUGACAUUAUUUACUCCAGAUGUGAUGCCUGACAUUAUUUACUCCAGAUGUGAUAACUGACAUUAUUUACUGCAGAUGUGAUACUGACAUUAUUUAUUCCAGAUGUAAUGCCUGACAUUAUUUACUCCAGGUGUGAUACUGACAUUAUUUACUGCAGAUGUGAUACCUGACAUUAUUUACUCCAGAUGUGAUAUUGACAUUAUUUACUCCAGAUGUGAUACUGACAUUAUUUACUCCAGAUGUGAUACCUGACAUUAUUUACUCCAGAUGUGAUGCCUGACAUUAUUUACUCCAGAUGUGAUACUGACAUUAUUUACUCCAGAUGUGAUACUGACAUUAUUUACUCCAGAUGUGAUACUGACAUUAUUUACUCCAGAUGUGAUACCUGACAUUAUUUACUCCAGAUGUGAUAACUGACAUUAUUUACUCCAGAUGUGAUAACUGACAUUAUUUACUCCAGAUGUGAUAACUGACAUUAUUUACUCCAGAUGUGAUAUUGACAUUAUUUACUCCAGAUGUGAUGCCUGACAUUAUUUACUCCAGAUGUGAUGCCUGACAUUAUUUACUCCAGAUGUGAUGCCUGACAUUAUUUACUCCAGAUGUGAUAACUGACAUUAUUUACUCCAGAUAUGAUACUGACAUUAUUUACUCCAGAUGUGAUACUGACAUUAUUUACUCCAGAUGUGAUACUGACAUUAUUUACUCCAGUUGUGAUGCCUGACAUUAUUUACUCCAGAUGUGAUAUUGACAUUAUUUACUCCAGAUGUGAUACUUGACUGAGAAGUCUACAGUGGCACCUAUGCAGUACAGAACUCUGGCCAAAGAUAUUCAACCUGCAUCUAAUCUUGUGUAAGCAAUCAGAUUAACCCACAUAUGGGACACUCUACAAGACAACUGUCCUGGACUCUUUAUCAAAAACUAAUUUCACAUAAACAAAGAACAACAACAACAAUAAAAAGGUGAAAGACUGUUUCAGAUGAAAAGAGACUGAAGAGCCAUAACAACCAAAUAUCAUACAUGAUCUUGAUUGGAUCCUGGAUAGGAAAAAAAAAUCCAGCAUUAAAAGCUCUUCCGGGGACAACUGUAGAGAUUUGAAUACAGAUAGUACACUGGGUGCUAUUAUGGUUGUGAUCAUGGUAUUGUGGUUUUGUGGGAGAAUAUCCUUAUUAGGAGAUGCUGAGAUAUCUAGAAGUGAAGUGUCAAGAUGUCAGCAACUUGCUUUCAAAUUGCUCAGCAAAAUAAAAGUAUGUGGAAAUAUACAAAGACAGAGAGAGACCAACAGAGACAAAGCAAUUGUGGCAAAAUGUUAACAGUUGGAGAAUCCAGGCUCUGAUGGGCCAAGGGUCCAAGAUCAAGGUGUCAGCAGGGCCACACUCCCUCUGGAGGCUCUAAGAAGAGUCUGCUCCUGCCUCUUCCAGGCCAUCCUGGCUUGUGGCUGCAACUCUCAAGUCGCUGCCUCUGCCUUCACAUGGCCUUCUCCUCUUCCAUCUCUGUGUCUCUCCUCUGCGCGUCUCAUAUAAGGACAUUCAUCCUGGGAUUUACAAUCCGUCCAAGAUAAUGAUCCCAAGAAUCAUUUCAUCUCAAGAUCUUUAACUUGAACCGGGCACAGUGGCUCAUGCCUAUAAUCUCAGCAUUUUGAGAGGCCGAGGCAGGUGGGUCACUUGAGCCCAGGAGUUCAAGACCAGCGUGGGCAACUUAGGGAGACCUCGUCUCUACAAAAAAUACACACAAAAAAUUAACCAGGAGUGGUGGUGUGCAACCCUAGUCCCAGCUACUCGGGAGGCUGAGGCCAGAGGAUCGCUUGAGCCUGGGAGGUUGAGGCUGCAGUGAGCCGUGAUUGUGCCACUGCCUUCCAGCCUGGAUGACACAGUGAGACCCUAUCUCUCUCACACACACACACACACACACACACACACACACACACGAUCCUUAAGACCAGCCUGGGCCACAUAGGGAGCUCCACACAGAGCAGGUGCUCAUUCAAUGUUGUAAAUUACAUUUGUAAAGACACUUUUUCCAAAUAAGGUCACUUACAU
rnacentral:lncRNA from 10 species